rnacentral:rRNA from 1 species
GAUGAACGCUAGCGAUAGGCUUAACACAUGCAAGUCGAGGGGCAGCGAGGGUAGCAAUACCUGUCGGCGACCGGCGCACGGGUGAGUAACGCGUAUGUAACCUGCCCGCAACAGGGGGAUAACCCGGCGAAAGUCGGACUAAUACCGCAUAAAACAGGGGUCCCGCAUGGGAAUAUUUGUUAAAGAUUUAUCGGUUGCGGAUGGGCAUGCGUACCAUUAGGUAGUUGGUGAGGUAACGGCUCACCAAGCCUUCGAUGGUUAGGGGUUCUGAGAGGAAGGUCCCCCACACUGGUACUGAGACACGGACCAGACUCCUACGGGAGGCAGCAGUGAGGAAUAUUGGUCAAUGGGCGAGAGCCUGACCCAGCCAAGUCGCGUGAAGGAUGACUGCCCUAUGGGUUGUAAACUUCUUUUACAAGGGAAUAAAAUGAGAUACGUGUAUUUUAUUGCAUGUACCUUGGGAAUAAGCAUCGGCUAACUCCGUG